AACGAACGCUGGCGGCGUGCUUAACACAUGCAAGUCGAGCGAGAAAGGGGAGCAAUCCCCGAGUAAAGCGGCAAACGGGUGAGUAACACGUGGGUAACCUACCCUCGAGUGGGGAAUAACAUCUCGAAAGAGGUGCUAAUACCGCAUGACAUCGAGAGGGCUCUGGCCUUUUCGAUCAAUGGUUGGGAUCUUCGGACCAACCGCUUGAGGAUGGGCCCGCGGCUGAUUAGCUAGUUGGUGGGGUAAUGGCCUACCAAGGCGACGAUCAGUAGCCGGACUGAGAGGUUGAUCGGCGACACUGGAACUGAGACACGGUCCAGACUCCUACGGGAGGCAGGCAGUGAGG
rnacentral:rRNA from 1 species